GACAGAGGAUGCAAGCGUUAUCCGGAAUGAUUGGGCGUAAAGCGUCUGUAGGUGGCUUUUUAAGUCCGCCGUCAAAUCCCAGGGCUCAACCCUGGACAGGCGGUGGAAACUACCAAGCUGGAGUACGGUAGGGGCAGAGGGAAUUCCCGGUGUAGUGGUGAAAUGCGUAGAGAUGUGGAGGAAUACCGAUGGCGAAGGCAGCCCCCUGGGAUAACACUGACGCUCAUGCACGAAAGCGUGGGGAGCAAACAGG
rnacentral:rRNA from 1 species